rnacentral:rRNA from 1 species
CAGCCGCCACGGUAAAACGUAGGUGGCAAGCGUUGUCCGGAAUUAUUGGGCGUAAAGGGCUCGCAGGCGGUUUCUUAAGUCUGAUGUGAAAGCCCCCGGCUCAACCGGGGAGGGUCAUUGGAAACUGGGAAACUUGAGUGCAGAAGAGGAGAGUGGAAUUCCACGUGUAGCGGUGAAAUGCGUAGAGAUGUGGAGGAACACCAGUGGCGAAGGCGACUCUCUGGUCUGUAACUGACGCUGAGGAGCGAAAGCGUGGGGAGCGAACAGGAUUAGAUAACCCCGUAGUCCCUGUCUCUUAUAC